rnacentral:rRNA from 1 species
UAAUACAGAGGGGGCUAGCGUUAUUCGGAAUUAUUGGGCGUAAAGGGCGCGUAGGCGGCCAUGCGUGUCUUUCGUGAAAUCCCUCGGCUUAACUGAGGACGUGCGGAAGAAACUGCAAGGCUUGAGUCCGGGAGAGGGGGGUGGAAUUCCCAGUGUAGCGGUGAAAUGCGUAGAUAUUGGGAGGAACACCGGUGGCGAAGGCGGCCCCCUGGACCGGUACUGACGCUGAGGCGCGAAAGCGUGGGUAGCAAACGG